rnacentral:rRNA from 1 species
AAUCGGCGCUAAUACCUCAUAAUGCAGCGGAUCCGCAUGGAUAUGUUGUUAAAGGUUUACCGCCUUGGGAUAAGGCUUGCGUCUGAUUAGCUAGUUGGUGUGGUAAUGGCACACCAAGGCUACGAUCAGUAACUGGUCUGAGAGGAUGAUCAGUCACACUGGAACUGAGACACGGUCCAGACUCCUACGGGAGGCAGCAGUGAGGAAUAUUGGGCAAUGCACGAAAGUGUGACCCAGCAACGCCGCGUGGAGGAUGAAGGUAUUCUAUAUCGUAAACUCCUGUGAGAGCAGACGAAAGACAGAUUAUUAAUUUGGAUGACUGUAUGCUCAGAGGAAGCCCCGGCUAACUACGUG